rnacentral:ncRNA from 1 species
GAGGCGUACGGCGAUGAGGCUCGCCGCAACCGCACCCAUGGCCGGUGCUGAUGGCCUCUACGUGAUG